UACACUCCUGCGGGAGGCAGCAGUGGGGAAUAUUGGACAAUGGGCGCAAGCCUGAUCCAGCCAUGCCGCGUGAGUGAUGAAGGCCCUAGGGUUGUAAAGCUCUUUUGUGCGGGAAGAUAAUGACGGUACCGCAAGAAUAAGCCCCGGCUAACUUCGUGCCAGCAGCCGCGGUAAUACGAAGGGGGCUAGCGUUGCUCGGAAUCACUGGGCGUAAAGGGUGCGUAGGCGGGUCUUUAAGUCAGGGGUGAAAUCCUGGCGCUCAACUCCAGAACUGCCUUUGAUACUGAAGAUCUUGAGUUCGGGAGAGGUGAGUGGAACUGCGAGUGUAGAGGUGAAAUUCGUAGAUAUUCGCAAGAACACCAGUGGCGAAGGCGGCUCACUGGCCCGAUACUGACGCUGAGGCACGAAAGCGUGGGGAGCAAACAGGAUUAGAAACCCCGGUAGUCCCAUGA
rnacentral:rRNA from 1 species